GGUUCCUGCGCAACGUUAAUCGACGCAGGGUUAGUCGGUUCCUAAGGCGAGGCUGAAAAGCGUAGUCGAUGGGAAACAGGUUAAUGUUCCUGUACUUCUGGUUACUGCGAUGGAGGGACGGAGAAGGCUAGGCCAGCUUGGCGUUGGUUGUCCAAGUUUAAGGUGGUAGGCUGAAAUCUUAGGUAAAUCCGGGGUUUCAAGGCCGAGAGCUGAUGACGAGUCGUCUUUUAGAUGACGAAGUGGUUGAUGCCAUGCUUCCAAGAAAAGCUUCUAAGCUUCAGGUAACCAGGAACCGUACCCCAAACCGACACAGGUGGUCGGGUAGAGAAUACCAAGGCGCUUGAGAGAACUCGGGUGAAGGAACUAGGCAAAAUGGCACCGUAACUUCGGGAGAAGGUGCGCCGGCUAGGGUGAAGGAUUUACUCCGUAAGCUCUGGCUGGUCGAAGAUACCAGGCCGCUGCGACUGUUUAUUAAAAACACAGCACUCUGCAAACACGAAAGUGGACGUAUAGGGUGUGACGCCUCCCCGGUGCCGGAAGGUUAAUUGAUGGGGUUAGCGCAAGCGAAGCUCUUGAUCGAAGCCCCGGUAAACGGCGGCCGUAACUAUAACGGUCCUAAGGUAGCGAAAUUCCUUGUCGGGUAAGUUCCGACCUGCACGAAUGGCGUAACGAUGGCGGCGCUGUCUCCACCCGAGACUCAGUGAAAUUGAAAUCGCUGUGAAGAUGCAGUGUAUCCGCGGCUAGACGGAAAGACCCCGUGAACCUUUACUGUAGCUUUGCACUGGACUUUGAGCCUGCUUGUGUAGGAUAGGUGGGAGGCUUUGAAGCGUGGACGCCAGUUCGCGUGGAGCCAUCCUUGAAAUACCACCCUGGCAUGCUUGAGGUUCUAACUCUGGUCCGUAAUCCGGAUCGAGGACAGUGUAUGGUGGGCAGUUUGACUGGGGCGGUCUCCUCCUAAAGAGUAACGGAGGAGUACGAAGGUGCGCUCAGACCGGUCGGAAAUCGGUCGCAGAGUAUAAAGGCAAAAGCGCGCUUGACUGCGAGACAGACACGUCGAGCAGGUACGAAAGUAGGUCUUAGUGAUCCGGUGGUUCUGUAUGGAAGGGCCAUCGCUCAACGGAUAAAAGGUACUCCGGGGAUAACAGGCUGAUACCGCCCAAGAGUUCAUAUCGACGGCGGUGUUUGGCACCUCGAUGUCGGCUCAUCACAUCCUGGGGCUGAAGCCGGUCCCAAGGGUAUGGCUGUUCGCCAUUUAAAGUGGUACGCGAGCUGGGUUUAGAACGUCGUGAGACAGUUCGGUCCCUAUCUGCCGUGGACGUUUGAGAUUUGAGAGGGGCUGCUCCUAGUACGAGAGGACCGGAGUGGACGAACCUCUGGUGUUCCGGUUGUCACGCCAGUGGCAUUGCCGGGUAGCUAUGUUCGGAAAAGAUAACCGCUGAAAGCAUCUAAGCGGGAAACUUGCCUCAAGAUGAGAUCUCACUGGGAACUUGAUUCCCCUGAAGGGCCGUCGAAGACUACGACGUUGAUAGGCUGGGUGUGUAAGCGUUGUGAGGCGUUGAGCUAACCAGUACUAAUUGCCCGUGAGGCUUGACC
rnacentral:rRNA from 1 species